ensembl:misc_RNA
CUUUACAAAAUACCUGAGACAAUCAAGAAAGAAAAAUAAUGCUCCAUCUCACCCCUAUCACCAUCCCAGAUAAAGAGAAACUUUCCCUUGGAGCAAAGGAGAACAAAGAGAGGGAAGGAGUAAUUGCAUCCUGCAUCCAGCUUUCAGGUAGAGGAGUCCAUGCAGGGA